UGACGUAGUGAACGACGAUUCUACUCGUGGGCCGUGUCGAGUUCUCUUUUUUCACUUUAGAUACUCAGUGUAACUGAAAUUCGUAAAGGAUCAUGCUAGCCAGGUUGUCUGUGAGAGAUUGAACUUUUAUUCUCAUCCUUAUCAUUUAUUUCGAUGCUGAGAACUGCUUUUCGUCAACGGAACAUCAGAAACGACUACUCUCCACUUUCGAUCGGGAGGAAGUUUUAAACUCUAGUUUCAAUGGAAAAGAACAGCGUGAAAGCUCCGGAUCAAUUUAAACUUUUACCAAAAAUUAUAAAUGGCGGGAUCGCAGGUAUUAUCGGGGUGUCUGUCGUAUUCCCACUGGACUUGGUUAAAACACGAUUACAGAAUCAAGUUGUCGGACCCAAUGGCGAACAAAUGUACAAAUCUAUGCUUGAUUGUUUCAUGAAAACUCAAAAAGCGGAGGGCUAUUUCGGCAUGUACAAAGGAUCUGCAGUAAAUAUUCUUCUAAUCACUCCAGAGAAAGCAAUCAAACUCACUGCCAACGAUACUUUCCGACAUUAUCUAUCCACAGGUCCUGGACAGAAAUUGCCAAUAGCACGCGAAAUGCUUGCCGGUGGUCUAGCGGGAGCAUGUCAAAUAAUCGUCACGACUCCGAUGGAGCUGCUGAAAAUUCAAAUGCAGGAUGCUGGACGAGUAGCAGCAGCGGCAAAGAAAGCUGGAAAAACUGUGACAAAGGUGUCAGCCUUGUCUCUGACGAAAGAUCUUCUUCGAAAGAGAGGUAUCUUCGGACUCUACCAAGGCAUGGGUGCAACAGCACUUAGAGACGUCACAUUUUCUGUUAUAUACUUCCCGCUCUUUGCUAGAUUGAACGAUAUUGGACCGAAAAGAGAGGAUGGCUCUUCCGUGUUUUGGUGUUCGUUUUUGGCUGGCUGUGCGGCUGGUUCUACGGCUGCGCUGAUGGUCAAUCCAUUCGAUGUAAUCAAAACUAGACUGCAAGUAAUCAAGAAAGCUCCCGACGAACCAACAUAUAAUGGUGUGUUCGACUGUAUAAGUAAAACGUUGAAGAACGAGGGACCGACGGCAUUCUUCAAAGGCGGUGCGUGUAGAAUGAUCGUCAUAGCGCCCCUUUUCGGGAUCGCACAAACUGUUUACUACCUCGGCGUCGCGGAGAGGCUUUUAGGCCUUAAAUGAACAUCGCCCAUCGCUCUUCUCUGCCGUCUUGAAUACUCUGGGAUUAAACUGACAAUAACUGGCGUAUUAUAGAUGUAUUUUCGCUUAGUACGAUUCGCUAGUUGUCCAUUUUAUGAUUGUUAAAUCUGGAUAAUCAAGGUUCAUCUGUUCCAUAUAUGGGGUAAAUCAACGCUGAUAAUAAUGACGUUGAAUCUGAUAUAGUAUUAUAAUUAAAUGAAGAUAUAAAACCCAUGAUUUUCGACCAUGUUCGCCUAUUUUCGUCAUCGAACUAGUAUCGUAAGUCGUGGAUUUUAUUUGUUCCAUCGUACUGCCUUUUACAUAAAUUAGCUUUUCCAGAACCAGUGUUUCCAGUUUAUUUGUUUAAUUUCUUUUUUUAAUACCGAUUAAAGUAAAAAGCUUUGUCGACUUAAGGGGCUUAAUUUUUUUAUAGAGUUAAUAAGGUUUUAAUUAAGGUCUAAAUCAAAAUAGUUGUUUAUGCGUAUUUAUUUUAAGCUUGCCUACAAGUAAAGGGAGUAAACCUAAUAAAUGAAACUAUAACCUAUUACAUAUCUAAAUAUAAAUUUUCGUGAAAAAAUUGAUUAGGAAUAUCUAUAAAUAGUUUCGUUUGUAUUUUUAUUUUUACAAAUACCUUUUAACAGUAUGUAUUAUACUAAAAAAUAUACUUUUGGAAACACUGGUUUAGCAUAUCGUGAUAACAGGAGCUUACAUUUUGUAAGAUUGUAGUUGUUUUACUGAUUCUAGUUGAUUUAGUUAUCAGGAAUUACUAUAACGGUAAGAAUCAAACGAUUCAGAAUAACUCUUAAUUGACAUGAUUAAUAACAAACGGCAAUAAAAUACAAACAAUCCAUUAAUUAAAAAUUUUUCUAUGUUAAUUUCAACAUAUGUUUUAUUAACGUAAUUAACUAUAUGAUUUAUUUUAAAGCGUUGAAAAAGUAAACAUUGUUUGUAUUUUUGAAAAUGAUCUGUUUCCAGUAUUAUUAAAUUUAUA